GAUGAACGCUAGCGGCAGGCCUAACACAUGCAAGUCGAGGGGUAGAAGCUUUCGGGCUUUGAGACCGGCGCACGGGUGCGUAACGCGUAUGCAAUCUGCCUUGUACUGAGGGAUAGCCCAGAGAAAUUUGGAUUAACACCUCAUAGUAUUUUAGUGUGGCAUCACAUUAUUAUUAAAGGUUACGGUACAAGAUGGGCAUGCGUCCCAUUAGCUAGUUGGUAUGGUAACGGCAUACCAAGGCUACGAUGGGUAGGGGUCCUGAGAGGGAGAUCCCCCACACUGGUACUGAGACACGGACCAGACUCCUACGGGAGGCAGCAGUGAGGAAUAUUGGUCAAUGGUCGCAAGACUGAACCAGCCAUGCCGCGUGCAGGAUGAAGCAUCUAUGGUGUGUAAACUGCUUUUGUACGGGAAGAAACACCGCUACGUGUAGCGGCUUGACGGUACCGUAAGAAUAAGGAUCGGCUAACUCCGUGCCAGCCGCCGCAGUAAUAC
rnacentral:rRNA from 1 species